rnacentral:rRNA from 1 species
AGCGUCAUCCUACGGGGGCAGCAGUAGGGAAUUUUCGUCAAUGGGCGCAAGCCUGAACGAGCGAUGCCGCGUGAGUGAAGAAGGCCUUCGGGUCGUAAAGCUCUGUUGCGGGGGAAAAAAGGCAGCAUCAGGAAAUGGGUGCUGACUGAUGGUGCCCCGCCAGAAAGUCACGGCUAACUACGUGCC